GCAGUCGACGGUGAAGGAGAGCUUGCUCUCCGGAUCAGUGGCGAACGGGUGAGUAACACGUGAGCAAUCUGCCCCUGACUCUGGGAUAAGCGCUGGAAACGGCGUCUAAUACCGGAUACGAGCUGCGAAGGCAUCUUCAGCAGCUGGAAAGAACUUCGGUCAGGGAUGAGCUCGCGGCCUAUCAGCUAGUUGGUGAGGUAAUGGCUCACCAAGGCGUCGACGGGUAGCCGGCCUGAGAGGGUGACCGGCCACACUGGGACUGAGACACGGCCCAGACUCCUACGGGAGGCAGCAGUGGGGAAUAUUGCACAAUGGGCGCAAGCCUGAUGCAGCAACGCCGCGUGAGGGACGACGGCCUUCGGGUUGUAAACCUCUUUUAGCAGGGAAGAAGCGAAAGUGACGGUACCUGCAGAAAAAGCGCCGGCUAACUACGUGCCAGCAGCCGCGGUAAUACGUAGGGCGCAAGCGUUAUCCGGAAUUAUUGGGCGUAAAGAGCUCGUAGGCGGUUUGUCGCGUCUGCUGUGAAAACCCGAGGCUCAACCUCGGGCCUGCAGUGGGUACGGGCAGACUAGAGUGCGGUAGGGGAGAUUGGAAUUCCUGGUGUAGCGGUGGAAUGCGCAGAUAUCAGGAGGAACACCGAUGGCGAAGGCAGAUCUCUGGGCCGUAACUGACGCUGAGGAGCGAAAGGGUGGGGAGCAAACAGGCUUAGAUACCCUGGUAGUCCACCCCGUAAACGUUGGGAACUAGUUGUGGGGUCCAUUCCACGGAUUCCGUGACGCAGCUAACGCAUUAAGUUCCCCGCCUGGGGAGUACGGCCGCAAGGCUAAAACUCAAAGGAAUUGACGGGGACCCGCACAAGCGGCGGAGCAUGCGGAUUAAUUCGAUGCAACGCGAAGAACCUUACCAAGGCUUGACAUAUACGAGAACGCUGCAGAAAUGUAGAACUCUUUGGACACUCGUAAACAGGUGGUGCAUGGUUGUCGUCAGCUCGUGUCGUGAGAUGUUUGGGUUAAGUCCCGCAACGAGCGCAACCCUCGUUCUAUGUUGCCAGCACGUAAUGGUGGGAACUCAUGGGAUACUGCCGGGGUCA
rnacentral:rRNA from 1 species